rnacentral:rRNA from 1 species
AUCGAACGCUGGCGGCAGGCCUAACACAUGCAAGUCGAACGGAGCGGCGGACGGGUGAGUGAUGUCAAGGAAUAUGCAUGGUAGUCGGGGAUAACGUCCGGAAACGGGAGCUGACUCCGCAUACUUGCACAUGAGUCUCGGGUGGAUUGGCUGGUUGGUGGGGUAAUGGCCUACCCAGGCGACGAGCCGUAACGGGCCCGAGAGGAUGAUCGGUCACACUGGAACUGAGACACGGUCCAGACUCCUACGGGGGGCAGCAGUGGGGAAUAUUGGGCAAUGGGCGAAAGCCUGAGCGAGCCAUGCCGCGUGCGUGAAGAAGGUCUUCGGAUUGUAAAGCUCUUUAAGUUGGGAGGCGUUACCAACAGAAAAAGCACCGGCUAACUUCGUGCCAGCAGCCGCGGUAAUAC